rnacentral:rRNA from 1 species
UACGUAGGGGGGCAAGCGUUGUCCGGAAUCAUUGGGCGUAAAGAGCGUGUAGGCGGCUCGAUAAGUCCGCUGUGAAAGUCCAGGGCUCAACCCUGGAAGGCCGGUGGAAACUGUCGGGCUAGAGUCCGGAAGAGGCGAGUGGAAUUCCCGGUGUAGCGGUGAAAUGCGCAGAUAUCGGGAGGAACACCAAUGGCGAAGGCAGCUCGCUGGGACGGUACUGACGCUGAGACGCGAAAGCGUGGGGAGCAAACAGGG